GACGAACGCUGGCGGCGUGCCUAACACAUGCAAGUCGAGCGAUGAAACCCUUCGGGGUGGAUUAGCGGCGGACGGGUGAGUAACACGUGGGUAACCUGCCUCAAAGAGGGGGAUAGCCUCCCGAAAGGGAGAUUAAUACCGCAUAGCAUUAUUUCUUCGCAUGAAGAGAUAAUCAAAGGAGUAAUCCGCUUUGAGAUGGACCCGCGGCGCAUUAGCUAGCUGGUGAGGUAAUGGCUCACCAAGGCGACGAUGCGUAGCCGACCUGAGAGGGUGAUCGGCCACAUUGGAACUGAGAUACGGUCCAGACUCCUACGGGAGGCAGCAGUGGGGAAUAUUGCGCAAUGGGGGAAACCCUGACGCAGCAACGCCGCGUGGGUGAAGAAGGCCUUCGGGUUGUAAAGCUCUGUCUUCUGGGACGAUAAUGACGGUACCAGAGGAGGAAGCCACGGCUAACUACGUGCCAGCCGCCGCCGUAA
rnacentral:rRNA from 1 species